GGAAAUUUACCGUUGGAUCGAGAAAUAGACGUUCAAGAUUUGUCCACGUCACCGUGAGAUUCGUCCGAGAAAAUUUUACUGCGAGCUAAAUUUUAACUCGCGGUGAUGUGGAUGAAUCUUGGACGUCUAUUUCUCGAUCCAAUUCCAAGUUUCC
rnacentral:pre_miRNA from 1 species